GUCUUGCUGUCACUUAUAGAUGGAUCCGCGCUGCAUUAGCUAGUUGGUAAGGUAACGGCUUACCAAGGCAACGAUGCAUAGCCGACCUGAGAGGGUGAUCGGCCACACUGGAACUGAGACACGGUCCAGACUCCUACGGGAGGCAGCAGUAGGGAAUCUUCCGCAAUGGGCGAAAGCCUGACGGAGCAACGCCGCGUGAGUGAUGAAGGUCUUCGGAUCGUAAAACUCUGUUAUUAGGGAAGAACAUAUGUGUAAGUAACUGUGCACAUCUUGACGGUACCUAAUCAGAAAGCCACGGCUAACUACGUGCCAGCAGCCGCGGUAAUACGUAGGUGGCAAGCGUUAUCCGGAAUUAUUGGGCGUAAAGCGCGCGUAGGCGGUUUUUUAAGUCUGAUGUGAAAGCCCACGGCUCAACCGUGGAGGGUCAUUGGAAACUGGAAAACUUGAGUGCAGAAGAGGAAAGUGGAAUUCCAUGUGUAGCGGUGAAAUGCGCAGAGAUAUGGAGGAACACCAGUGGCGAAGGCGACUUUCUGGUCUGUAACUGACGCUGAUGUGCGAAAGCGUGGGGAUCAAACAGGAUUAGAUACCCUGGUAGUCCACGCCGUAAACGAUGAGUGCUAAGUGUUAGGGGGUUUCCGCCCCUUAGUGCUGCAGCUAACGCAUUAAGCACUCCGCCUGGGGAGUACGACCGCAAGGUUGAAACUCAAAGGAAUUGACGGGGACCCGCACAAGCGGUGGAGCAUGUGGUUUAAUUCGAAGCAACGCGAAGAACCUUACCAAAUCUUGACAUCCUUUGACAACUCUAGAGAUAGAGCUUUCCCCUUCGGGGGACAAAGUGACAGGUGGUGCAUGGUUGUCGUCAGCUCGUGUCGUGAGAUGUUGGGUUAAGUCCCGCAACGAGCGCAACCCUUAAGCUUAGUUGCCAUCAUUAAGUUGGGCACUCUAAGUUGACUGCCGGUGACAAACCGGAGGAAGGUGGGGAUGACGUCAAAUCAUCAUGCCCCUUAUGAUUUGGGCUACACACGUGCUACAAUGGACAAUACAAAGGGCAGCGAAACCGUGAGGUCAAGCAAAUCCCAUAAAGUUGUUCUCAGUUCGGAUUGUAGUCUGCAACUCGACUACAUGAAGCUGGAAUCGCUAGUAAUCGUAGAUCAGCAUGCUACGGUGAAUACGUUCCCGGGUCUUGUACACACCGCCCGUCACACCACGAGAGUUUGUAACACCCGAAGCCGGUGGAGUAACCUUUUAGGAGCUAGCCGUCGAAGGUGGGACAAAUGAUUGGGGUGAAGUCGUAACAAGGUAGCCGUAUCGGAAGGUGCGGCUGGAUCACCU
rnacentral:rRNA from 3 species